rnacentral:lncRNA from 1 species
UUUUUAUUUUGGUACUUAGGAAUGUAAUCCAUUCAGACCAGGAGGUUUGAACACAUUUGGAGCAGCUACUCUUGCUGUUAUUAUUAUUUUUUUCAGGUGUUAUGGUGAUUCCCACUUAGCAGUGGCCGUUCUGCUGUUUCCUAGUCAAAUUCCAUGCUGCUUACUGAUAAGCUGGGGGCACUGGCUUCUGCUCUUGCUCUUUCUUCUGGAAACAUUAUUCUGUUCCUUUGGACAUGGGCAAGGGUCCUGUCCCUAACUUGUCCUUCUUUUUCUUUUGAUCUUAACCAGUUUCACUUGUACCAAGACCAAACUUUCUUACCUUUCCAUGCAGGGAAACAGGCACCAUCAAGAUCAAUGCCCUGGUACUCCUUAUGUAGUGAGUGAUAGAUGCUCACGGAAAAUGGGGAGAAAACUAAGGGGUGAAAGGGAAUAACUCUAAAAAGGACACGUUCACACUUUCUGACAGCAUAGUUGCAUGUUUUCAAUUUAUUUUGGCCACCAGAUGGCAUAACUGGGCUCAUUAAGAUAAACAAAGAGAAUGGCUACUACUCUGAAAAAACAAAAAAAAAAACUCUAGAUAAUUAAUGGUGAAAAUGCCCCUGAGAAAGCUCAUUUCUAAUUCUUACUCCUAGCUGGCUUUUUCUCAAAUUUAAAAGGUCACUUUGUCAUUCUUUGUAUCAUUGUUAUUCAUGUCUGUAUCUUUUACAAAUAUAUUUAUUUAAUAUUUAAUAAGACAAAUAAAAUGUUAAAAAUUAUUUUGUCCUGGGAAAGCCCAAGCCUUCCUGCACAGAAGUUGAAAUAUUCAAAGGACAAGAAAAGGCCUCUGGUACGGUCCUGUCUUGGACAGUUUCCCCGGCCACCCAGCAGGCUGCCUAUUGUGCUGUUUGAGAUGCAAAUGAUCUCUUCUUAUGCUGGGGAACCUUCUAGGCAUGGCAGGGGCAGUGGAGAGGCUACUUCCUCUCUCUCUUUUUUUUUUUUUUUUUUUUUGAGACGGAAUUCUCACUCUGUUACUAGGCUGGAGAGCGGUGGCAUGAUCUUGACACACUG